GAUAAAGAAAAUGUCUUGGAACAAUUGUCUCUGCUCAAACGGAAAAUAAUAUUUUUCGGGUGCUUGUACCUCGUAGCUAUUUAUUAAAAGUUAAUUCCUGUGUUCAAAUGCACGUUAAUUGUGCAAUAGACGAUGAGUAAGCGUUAUGACUAAAAUCAAUAUGAAGGAUGUUAUGCGCCGUGUAGCUUGCGGCUUCGCCCACGGGAAAAUCUUUUCUGAUACAUGUCCUGAAAUCACUGUAGUGCUUAAUAGCGCCUACUAUGCGAGGCCAGCGCGAUAUAUUUAAUAAUCAGAUAAAAAAAAGAAAUAUUUCCUACGUGAGCAAAUUGCCAGGAUAAAAAUUACUCUAAGUAAGUAUAUGUUAAUUCAGAUCAAGGUCUCUGCGUGUUUCAAAAUUUUGUCGAAGUCCGUUAAGCGGUUUCUGUGUUUACUUCAUUUAGUUACUCAAUGUCCAUAUUCCAAACGUAUUCUCAAACAUUUACAUUUAUAAUAAGAUUGAAUGGUACUGCGGUCACUCUUAAUCAAAUGUUCAUCUAAAUAGAUACUACCGUUUUGUCUGUUUACUGUAGCCAAUAUAAUUACCAGACGUUGGAAAACUUAGCUUUCACGUUCUCUUAUGACAAUAUUGUACUAUAUAUGAAUUCUAAGAUAUAAAACAAUUUAUUUGUAAUUAUGAUUUCUAAUUUCUAGGCAAUCUUAGCGUACCUAUUGGGGCUUUUGUGUUACGCAUGCGUGGCUUUAGACACAAAUGUUGGUAUAAUAAUCUAGAGAACAACCGAAAAUUAAGUGCUGUCGUAGAUACCGUAAGGACAAUAAAUAAAACUAGAGACUUUCUCAGUUUAAUUGAAAUACCUAUUACCUAGUAAAUAAAUUGAAAUUUAUUGUUAGUUAAAUAUUAAUUUGGGCUUACUUAUUUGGAAAUUACUACUUAGAUUUAUUGUGGGCGGAAAAUACACAUGAUCACUUAUGUAGAGCGAUACUUAUAAGUUUAUAUAUAAUAUGGUACAGAGUACCUUUAUCUCACACAUUAUUUAUAAUUUUGCACACGUUUUACUGUUUGUAAUGUUACACCCGUUAUGUAGAUACAUAGGUACCUACUUACCUAAUCGUAUUUGUACAUGUGCAGGAAAUUGCUCAGAACAACAUGUAGUUAAGGUAAUAAAUGUAUCCGCAAUUUUACCGAUGGUUUGUGGAAGUACCUUUAGCACAAUAUUCUAAUGUUUUCAUCUAUGUGAAAAGGUACCUACUUCAUAGUUUUCUGUAAUUGCACUGGAUUUUUUUAUUACAGUAGCAUUUUAUUUGACUAUGAAGUGAGACUAAAAUAAAUGUGAUUAUGAAAACAU